rnacentral:rRNA from 1 species
GCGUUGUUCGGAAUUACUGGGCGUAAAGCGCGCGUAGGCGGCUUUGCAAGUUAGAGGUGAAAGCCCGAAGCUCAACUUCGGAAUUGCCUUUAAAACUGCAUCGCUAGAAUUGUGGAGAGGUGAGUGGAAUUCCGAGUGUAGAGGUGAAAUUCGUAGAUAUUCGGAAGAACACCAGUGGCGAAGGCGACUCACUGGACACAUAUUGACGCUGAGGUGCGAAAGCGUG